rnacentral:rRNA from 1 species
UACGGAGGGGGCUAGCGUUGUUCGGAAUUACUGGGCGUAAAGCGCGCGCAGGCGGUUGCUCAAGUCGGGCGUGAAAUCCCGGGGCUUAACCCCGGAACUGCGUUCGAGACUGGGCGACUCGAGUCCGGGAGAGGGUGGCGGAAUUCCCAGUGUAGAGGCGAAAUUCGUAGAUAUUGGGAAGAACACCGGUGGCGAAGGCGGCUACCUGGCCCGGUACUGACGCUGAGGCGCGACAGCGUGGGGAGCAAACAGG